CCAGAACUAUGGUCUCCGCCACUUUAAUUAGCCUGGUAUUUAUACGGUUGCUAAGGGACACGGACACAGAGGAGGCAAAGAGAGUUUUCUUCCAUUUAUUAAGUUUGAAGCCCACUUAUACAAAACUCAUGAACUGCUUUUAGAACACUUUGAUAGCUUUCCCAACAUCUGGAAAUAAAUUAAGGAGAAGAAGUAAACAGCAACACACAAAUAAAAACAUUAAAACAAGAAUGAAUUCUGACAGGUGAAUAUCAGGAAUAUGAGGAAAUGCAACCCUCACAGAAAGGCAUUGUUUAGUCACAUGUGCUACUCUUUUAGGUAAUAAGCUCUUAAACAAAUCCAAUAGAAUCAGUUUUAACCUUCUAAAUGAUGUUGGGGAACUUCAAACAAGUACACUUCUUUAAUAUUGAACAUACACUUGGAGGCUCUAUUUUUUUGUCAGUUCUCGUUAUCCAAUGAAAAAAAUGGCUGGUGGACUACAUUUUCAGACAGGUUAUUACUGACAUGUACAAGGGUCAUGCAAGUCUUAAGUGUUAUGCCGCGACACUUUUCUCCUGAAUUAUUACUAUCGUAAGACAUAAAAACAGCACAUUAAACAGAAGUCUAUAGAGUUUCACUGUAAAUCCCAGAGGUAUUAAGAAAACAGACCAUGCAAUGCUGUUUGUAAAUGCAGCUAUGAAAAUGUGUGUGUGUCACGGUAUCUGAGUUAAAAUCCCUUUUCUAGCUUUGUCCACAUUAAACUAGUUUAUCGACAAUGGAUUGUGUCCGUAUUCAUGUAAAAUAUCUGCUGACCUGUGAUCAAGCACAUCGACAGAGUUAAGUGUGAGUUUGUGUGCGUGUUAAAGCCUCUGGUCUUGAAACUUCAGCGUGUAGCGAAAUACACAACAACCUUCAAAUACUUACAAUCGUCACUCUUUCUUUAAGAAUCAACAUUAAUGUUCAAUAAUCAAAGAAUACUGAAGUAAAGUUUAAUAAAAUGCUUAUAUAUCAGGACACUACUGAGAUCUUCAUGUGAGAGAAUGAGUGUGUGUUUUGCUCUGGGUUUUUUGUAGAGCAUCUCUUCCCAAAGAAGUAUUAUUAUUCAUGUUAUUAAAAUACCAAUAAACAAACAAGCAGAGCAAAAGAAAAGAGAAUCCCACUGAUUUCGGAGGGAAUUUGGGAAGGUAAAGCUGCCCCAGAUAGGGCUAGUUUGCUGAAGGUGGGGGGAUGGAGGGUGAGGUUCUAUGUGGCGAGCCGCUCACCUCUUCUUGGGGGCUUGGGCCGUACGGGGCGGGGUCACAGGUCGCCCUGAGUUGACCCCGCUGUACUGAUACUUUGCCUUCUUUUCUGAUGGCUUCAGGAUCUGAGAGAGAAAAGAGAGUGUGUG
ensembl:lncRNA